rnacentral:lncRNA from 1 species
UGAAUCCAGGCAAAUUUGAAGAACUGAUUGAACUGAUCACACGAACGGCUGACUUUUUCAAAGUAAUCAAAGAGGUUGACGUUGGCAAUUAAUUAUAUAGGAGUUCCACACAUUAUUCUCUCAUGCGUAGUAUAUGUAUGCAGCUUGUUUGAUGAGUUACUCAAUUUCCAUUUCUCUGUCAAUCUUUCCUUGUUGAUCUUGAAAUGAAUUUUCUUGUUUAUCUGUCCUUUUAUAUAUUUCUUGAGGUCAGUUUCGCAAUUUUCCUGACACAUUAUAGAAGUAGUGAGCAUAGAAGCAAGAAGAAAAUACCACCUGGGCCAAAUUGAAAAGGUCAUUCUUAUUGUGUUUUGUAUGCAGGUGCUUUGGAAUACAUAUGGAACACACUAUGAUGACAAGUAUUUUCAAGAUCAUCUCUUUGAAUCCGCCAAAUUUGAAGAACUGAUUGAUCUGUAUGCUUUUCUACAAUUCGAUGGAGGAAUUGUGUGCAAGAUACCAACUGGUCAAGUUAAAUAUCCUUACAGUCGUAGAUUGUGUAAUAACUCGAUACUAUUGAACUUUAGUAUGGAAUGCCUACAAAAAUUUCUUCCAAGUUAACAUGAUGCCGCUAGUUCAU